UACAGAGGGUGCAAGCGUUGUUCGGAAUUAUUGGGCGUAAAGCGCGUGUAGGCGGCCAUUUAAGUCUGGUGUGAAAUCCCUCGGCUCAACCGAGGAAGUGCAUUGGAUACUGAAUGGCUAGAGGAUGAGAGAGGAGAGUGGAAUUCCCGGUGUAGGGGUGAAAUCCGUAGAUAUCGGGAGGAACACCAGAGGCGAAGGCGGCUCUCUGGCUCAUUUCUGACGCUGAGACGCGAAAGCGUGGGGAGCAAACAGG
rnacentral:rRNA from 1 species